ensembl:lncRNA
GACCAGUAAUGGUAGUGUCUCUCUCUCCUCACUGUGACCAGUAAUGGUAGUGUCUCUCUCUCUCUCCUCACCAUGACCAGUAAUGGUAGUGUCUCUCUCUCUCCUCACUGUGACCAGUAAUGGUAGUGUCUCUCUCUCCUCACCGUGACCAGUAAUGGUAGUGUCUCUCUCUCUCCUCACUGUGACCAGUAAUGGUAGUGUCUCUCUCUCCUCACUGUGACCAGUAAUGGUAGUGUCUCUCUCUCCUCACCGUGACCAGUAAUGGUAGUGUCUCUCUCUCUCCUUACUGUGACCAGUAAUGGUAGUGUCUCUCUCUCUCUCCUCACUGUGACCAGUAAUGGUAGUGUCUCUCUCCUCACUGUGACCAGUAAUGGUAGUGUCUCUCUCUCUCUCCUCACUGUGACCAGUAAUGGUAGUGUCUCUCUCUCCUCACCGUGACCAGUAAUGGUAGUGUCUCUCUCUCUCCUCACUGUGACCAGUAAUGGUAGUCUCUCUCUCUUUCCUCACUGUGACCAGUAAUGGUAGUGUCUCUCUCUCCUCACUGUGACCAGUAAUGGUAGUGUCUCUCUCUCUCCUCACUGUGACCAGUAAUGGUAGUGUCUCUCUCUCUCUCCUCACUGUGACCAGUAAUGGUAGUGUCUCUCUCUCUCUCCUCACUGUGACCAGUAAUGGUAGUGUCUCUCUCUCUCUCCUCACUGUGACCAGUAAUGGUAGUGUCUCUCUCUCUCCUCACUGUGACCAGUAAUGGUAGUGUCUCUCUCUCUCCUCACUGUGACCAGUAAUGGUAGUGUCUCUCUCUCCUCACUGUGACCAGUAAUGGUAGUGUCUCUCUCUCUCUCCUCACUGUGACCAGUAAUGGUAGUGUCUCUCUCUCCUCACUGUGACCAGUAAUGGUAGUGUCUCUCUCUCUCUCCUCACUGUGACCAGUAAUGGUAGUGUCUCUCUCUCUCUCCUCACUGUGACCAGUAAUGGUAGUGUCUCUCUCUCUCACUGUGACCAGUAAUGGUAUGUCUCUCUCUCUCCUCCUCCUCACUGUGACCAGUAAUGGUAGUGUCUCUCUCUCUCUCCUCCUCACUGUGACCAGUAAUGGUAGUGUCUCUCUCUCUCUCCUCACUGUGACCAGUAAUGGUAGUGUCUCUCUCUCUGUCUCUCUCUCUGCUCACUGUGACCAGUAAUGGUAGUGUCUCUCUCUCUCUCAUCACUGUGACCAGUAAUGGUAGUGUCUCUCUCUCUCUCCUCACUGUGACCAGUAAUGGUAGUGUCUCUCUCUCUCCUCACUGUGACCAGUAAUGGUAGUGUCUCUCUCUCCUCACUGUGACCAGUAAUGGUAGUGUCUCUCUCUCUCUCCUCACCAUGACCAGUAAUGGUAGUGUCUCUCUCUCUCCUCACUGUGACCAGUAAUGGUAGUGUCUCUCUCUCCUCACCGUGACCAGUAAUGGUAGUGUCUCUCUCUCUCCUCACUGUGACCAGUAAUGGUAGUGUCUCUCUCUCCUCACUGUGACCAGUAAUGGUAGUGUCUCUCUCUCCUCACCGUGACCAGUAAUGGUAGUGUCUCUCUCUCUCCUUACUGUGACCAGUAAUGGUAGUGUCUCUCUCUCUCUCCUCACUGUGACCAGUAAUGGUAGUGUCUCUCUCCUCACUGUGACCAGUAAUGGUAGUGUCUCUCUCUCUCUCCUCACUGUGACCAGUAAUGGUAGUGUCUCUCUCUCCUCACCGUGACCAGUAAUGGUAGUGUCUCUCUCUCUCUCCUCACU